UAUUCAGUGCCGCAAUCCAACGAGAUAAGUCUCCUGCAUGGGGAGUACGAUCGCAAGGAUUAAACUCAAUGGAAUUGACGGGGGCCAGCACAAGCAGCGGAGCGUGUGAUUUAAUUAGAGGCUACGCGAAGAACACUUACUUGGACUUGACAUGCUGGUAGUAGGUAACCGAAAGGGGACCGACUUGGGAGACAGCACAGGUGUUGUAUGGCUAUCGUCAGCUCGUGUCGUGAGGUGUUCGGUUAAGUCAGAAGACGAGCGUAACUCCUGGCGUGUAGUUACAAGUAUCAUAACGCGACUGCCCGGGGAAACCGGGAGGAAGGUGGGGAUCACUUCAAGUCUAGCACUGGCUUUGAUGUCCAGGGCUACACACACGGUUCUAUGACCGGUAACAAUUGGCUAGCCAAGCCUAGAGGUGGCGCGAAUCCAGGAAAGCCGGUCACAGUGCGGAUCGUAGGGUGCAACGUCCCCUGCAUGAAGUCGGAGUUGAUAGUGUACUAGGAUUAGCUACACAGCGUUGAUACGUUCCCGGGCUUUGUCACACCGCCUGUCACAUCAUGCGAGCUGGUCACGCCUGACCUCAGUGACACUACUCUCAAGNAAGCAGCAGCAUAGAGUGGGCCUGUUGACUGGGACGAAGUCGUAACAAG
rnacentral:rRNA from 1 species